GAGAGGAGAUGGGAACCUGCUCCUCAGCACACAAACACACAUUUGCUUUUCAUUGGAUAGUACCUAGUCUCUUGAACAAAAUAGCAUAUUGUCCACUAUGAUGUGUUAUAUAUAUAGAUAUACACGACUCAAACGUGCCACCUUUUGAUGUUUUGAGAUGUUGACAAGUAUGACAGGUCCAGGAUUGAUGCACCCAUUCUGCAGCUGUGUAGUGUGCACACCAACACGACUGAAAAACAAGUCGAUCACUGUGUGCACGGUGAUGGUCUUUGACAGCACUUCCCAACCGUUGACGGAAUUUUCCAGCUUUUCGUGUUUUCACUGUUAUAUGCACAUAACAGGUAUUAGGCACUGUUACACAUCUUCUGAAAGACUACUAAAUCUCUGACUCAAACACGGGCGAAGAAGAAGCAGGAACAAGCGAACGGUUGGCCAGAGCUGUCAAAUCCUGCUGCUGGAAGACCAACAUCCUGUAGGUCUUAGCUCCAACAAGCUCCAACACACUUACAAUUCUGAAGACCUCAAUUAGCUGGUUUGGAAUCAGAGCUAAACUCUGCAGGACAGUGGCCCUCCAGGAAAUAGUUUGGACACCCCUGAUGUAGGCUUUGGGAUUUGGGUUGUGUUUAAGCAUGACAUUUGUAAUUGCAGCUUAUUCAUCUCAUGGGUCUUAUAGGCCAUCUCUAGACUUGAAGACUUGCUGUGAAGAACUGAAUUGCUCUAGAACUUAGCAUUUCUGGAGAUGCGGUUCUUGAGUGCUGUUAGAUGUGUAAUUGUGUAAUCGGAAGGAAGCACUCUGCUGGCAGGAAGACAGAGCACUGCAGGGACGGCAGGAAAUAGAUGGGCCACUUCCACCCGCUCAGCAUUUCAGUGUGGGUUUUGCCUUUUUAUUGGCCAUGACAUCAUGAUAGAUAAUCACAGAGGAGGUUACAUGGACUUUUUGUGAGAGAUGUAUUUGUUGUUUCUGGUUUAGUUGCAUCAGGGCCAAAAUAAAUGAUGCUGCACUAACAAACAAACAAAUGGGCUGGUAAAGAAAUAACACAGGUUGGUAGUUCUGGUGAUGAAUACAGUUUCUCUGCAGAUAGAUAUCUUUUAAUAUUCAUUCAGAACUUCAUUUGCAAAAAAUAUUGUUAAAGUAUAAGGCCAAACCCAAUUCACACUCAUCGCAACCUUAUACCAGACUCACAGUUCUAACCAAAAUAGAUAAAUUCAUACCAAUUUAAUUGAAUCCUUUCUUCAAAAUGACACUCAUAAACAGCCAACAAUGCUUGUUAACUUGCCAGUCUAGUCGGCUUCUGAGAACCGAGCGUAUUUCUAAAAAUUAAUAAUAAUAAUUUAGCUGAACUGAAAUUUUGCAGUCUUUCCAUAUUAAAGAUUAAGAGCAAACGCUUAAAUCAGGCAGCUUUAAACAGAAUCCUUCAACUUAAAAAAAAAAAAAAACACACACAGACCUGCAACAGUCGCUUUAAUUCAAUCACAACUGCAAGUCAACAAACAAUCGUGCAAUUUGUUACUUUUCGGUUGAAGGCAUUAAAUAGAUGUUAAUAAAUGAUUUCUGCAUUAUGCAGCUGUUUCUCGAAUGUUACUGAUUCUGUGAUUUCUCUUCAUUGGAAUGUUUUACAGAGCUGAUUCUGUCACAACGCUGAUAUUUCUGUGGACUCUAGACCGAAUGCCUGCAGGCUGGUAUGCGUGUAUUGAUCGGCUUUAUCAUCCCUUCUGGGAAAAAUAACAUCUCUGUGGCACAAAGACACACAAGCUGUGCAUGUGUGCCUCAGUCUCGGAGAGCGACAUACAUCUCUCUGUCUCACAGGAAUGCACGACUGGCAGUAUCAUUUAACUCUCUACACACUAUUUUAUGGUUUUGUAUCAAAUGAAACAAACCAUCUUAUCUGUAAUGAUGAUUUUAGAUCUGAGAAGACAUUAUAUCAUAAUUCUUUGUUAAACAUUGAAUGCAGAGGCUAAAAUUAACAAAGAGCAACACAAAAGUACACCCAAAAAUAAAAAAAGAAAACUAUCUUUCUUACCCUGAUGUCAUCGCAAAUCUGUAUGAGGCUAUUUCUUUUUUUGAUGGAACACAAACAUUCUAUUCAUAUAUCAUGGUCAGGGGUGUGUAGUUCUGAACCAAAUCUGUUGAAGUAUUAAUCAUUUAGCUUGAACGUGUGUUUGUUUAAUAUUUAUUUUGAGAAUCAAGAUGGGUUUCUUUUUUAAUCUCCCAAAUUUCUCCCCAAUUUAGUAUUCUCAAUCAACAUACAUUAUAUUACACACAUAUAUUAAAUAUUUUUUGUAUGAUAUCUAUAUUUUUUAUGAAUUCCUGCAUUAUACGAGUAAUGUAGAAAUGUGUGCUUUUUGCCAUAACUAUUGUGUGCAUAUAGUUAUAACAGAAUAAGAUUGCUAAUUGAAUGCAAAAUUUGGAAUAUAACACACACAACCUAUGCGUUUUAUUCUCUUUUUUUACUAAAAUUUUAGCUAUGGUGUAUUUCUCAGACUUGGCAGCUCACAAAAGAAGUUGACCCCCUGAGAGUGAGAAACUUUUACUUCUUGCGGUCUUCAGUGUGUUUACCUGCCACUAGUUGUUUUAGUAGAGCUUUAACCACCACACAGAUUAUCUGAACAAUGGAGAACAAUGAGUGCUGUGAUAGCAGCAUUUCCCAGAGUUUGCUCAGAGACACCUGUGGGCAGAACACUCACAUAAAUUUGAGGAUGUGUGCUACCGAUGACAGAUCCAUCAGAGUCUCGUUUUCUCAGCAGGAAAGUUUCUGCAUGCAGGCGAGCGACCGGAUGAUAAUUUAUCUCCAGGGCUUUGUAGGUAAUUGUUUGGAAAACUGAUUUUCUAAACACUUUUGGCACACGGGAAUGCUCUGUGGUUUCCAAGUGCUCUGCUGCGAGAGGGACUGAAAAAAAAAAUCCUUAUUCACUUUGUCAAAAAUAAUAAAUUAUUCCUCCUGUCCCAUCAUUUGACUUUAAAUUGCAUACUUAUGUACCCUGACAAAUUUGAGCACAGAUUAAUGUUAAUAAGAUUUCUAGAGACAACAUUUGAGAUACUUGGGUCUUUUUCUUGAGUAAAAAUCAAAGAACUAGGAAGUCUAAGCAAGAAUUCCUUUUUUCUCACAUUAUUAUUACAAUAUUAACUGUUAUAAUUAA